AUACGUAGGGUGCGAGCGUUGUCCGGAAUUACUGGGCGUAAAGAGCUCGUAGGUGGUUUGUCGCGUCGCCUGUGAAAUUCCGGGGCUUAACUCCGGGCGUGCAGGCGAUACGGGCAUAACUUGAGUACUGUAGGGGAGACUGGAAUUCCUGGUGUAGCGGUGAAAUGCGCAGAUAUCAGGAGGAACACCGGUGGCGAAGGCGGGUCUCUGGGCAGUAACUGACGCUGAGGAGCGAGAGCAUGGGUAGCGAACAGGAUUAGAUACCCUGGUAGUCCAUGCCGUAAACGGUGGGCGCUAGGUGUAGGGGUCUUCCACGACUUCUGUGCCGUAGCUAACGCAUUAAGCGCCCCGCCUGGGGAGUACGGCCGCAAGGCUAAAACUUAAAGGAAUUGACGGGG
rnacentral:rRNA from 1 species